rnacentral:lncRNA from 1 species
CCUCAUGCUUUGUCUGAUCAGAGCACAAAGAGAUCAACUUUAAUUCUCUCUCUCUCUCUCUCUCUGUCUCUCUCUCUCUCUGUCUCUCUCUCCUCUCUCUUCUCUCUCUGUCUCUGUCUCUCUCCUCUCUCCUCCUUUUCCCUCUCCUCUGUCCCUAUUCUUUUCUUUUCUUUUCUUUUCUUUUCUUUUCUUUUCUUUUCUUUUCUUUUCUUUUCUUUUCUUUUCUUUCUUUUCUUUUCUUUUCUUUUCUCCUUCCUCCCUUUUCCUCCAUUUUUAAAAUUCCUGUAUUCCUCAGUUUCCUUUUUUGUUUUUACCCUUUUCCUCCUCUUUUCUCUCAUUUCCUUCUUUUCCUUCCUACCUUGUCCUCUAUUUCUCCUCUCUCUCUACUUUUCCUUGUCUCUUUAUCUUUUUUCUCCUUUUCCCCUUCUUUCUCCUUUUUUUCUUACUUCUUCCUUUCCUUCUGUUGACCCUUUCUUCUUUCCUCACUUCCCUCUCUCCCUUCUCUCUUUUUUUCCUCUUUCCCUCUCAACUCCUCUCUCUCUCAUACCCUCUCUUUCUCCUUUUUGUCUCAGCAGAGCUGAAAGUGACAAGCAUUUCAGCCUUACAGCAACAAACAUAUUUGGUAGGAUUUUUUUUUGUAGGCAAUAUGGUGCAUGCAACUUCUAGUUUGCAUUACAGGCCACAGAAAGCCCAAGGGGAGGCAGGAAUGUUUCAUAGUGCUUGCUGAGAGACCUCUCACUUACAAGUAGGGAGAGGGCAUCUUUCCCCAGGGCUGGGGUCACUGCCCUCCUGAGUCUCUCUUGAUUUCUAGCACUAAUAGCCAAUACCAUUUCCAAGUGGGGUCAAGGUAAGGCUAGGAUGCUUUCAAGAAGUAGACUAGAGAGAAACAACAAACAGAUGUUCUUUGAUGAUAACUGUUGAGGAAAGAGGAUUUGGCUGAGAGAUCUGUGGCUUUCACUUGUUGAGAGCCUUAAGCUGGAGCCAGUGGUGUGGGGUUUUUUUUUUUUUAUCCUUGGUCUUUUUUUCCCUCUCUCUCUCUCUCUUUGCCCCCCAGAGUCAUAGUGUACCUGCUGUUACCAUCAAGCCAUUUGCCAACAGUGGCAUCUGUUCAGUGUAGCCAUCAAGAAUUUGAAUGUCAAUAUCUUUGCCUUGAAAUGAAUGGAAAAGUAUUUGUCACUCAGCGGCAAUCACUCUUCAAAUAAAAGGUUAGCCAGACAGGGCCCUUAAUCA